rnacentral:lncRNA from 1 species
AUUUAUAUGAUAUCUUUUUCUUUUCCCUGAUGCCUCUGGAGUAAUUAAUUUCCCUUGUUUGCUACACAGAUGUUUGGUUAUUUUUUUCAAUGAAAUUUGAUAAAGAAUGACACCUUCACAGACAGGUCUGGAGUAAAACUGGGUGAAUAUCUUGACAUGUUGCAUUAUAAGGUAGGGAGAUGUUUAAACACCCAAAAGACUGACUUUUCAGGUUACACAGAGCCUGAGCAAUAUCUGGUUUCUGGCAUAGGGAGGGAUAGAAAAAAGCUGUGUUUGAAGAAAAGAUGCUGUGUGAAUGAGAUGACAGUGCUGGGUUUUGUGACAGCAGAACAGCCUCCUAUUGUGUGUUUGUGUGCUUAGUAUCCUUCCAUCACCAUGAAUUUAUGCUGAAAAAUCAACACGUAUUUGCACACGUCACUGUUAAGACACUAGUGACAUGUAACCAUAGUGAUCAGAGAACUUUGUAAACUCAUGUGAAGUAACAAUCAAUGACUAGCAACUUCUUCUUGGAACAAUUAAACAGAAGGAGGUAGAGAUUACGUUGCACUGGACUGCAAAAGCAUUGGAAUAAUGCUUUUAGGUUCUUGUGGUCUUGGAAAGUGCUAGCUAAUCUUCAGGGCUCAACCUGUUUCUGUGGAAAUACAUGACGGAACUUUGAGUGACUUCUACGGUUGGGGGACGUGCUCCUAAACACCACACUGCUGGGAGGUCUCUGAAUCAGGAGCCCACCUAGUAAAUUCGGCAGAAGUUUAUCAGUGAGUGGACAGCAACGUUCUGAGAAAGACUGGCAUUAUUUUCUGAAAAUCUUUAAGCAGAUGCAGGUGCUUGAUCUGUUCAAAUGAAAUCAUUAUGUGACUGAAGCCAACUUUUCCCAAGCAUGUCACCUUGAGUGAGAGACUCCUACAACAUGCUGCUUCUCCUUCAGCCCUUUCAGCACGAUGAUCUACAUCCUGUGUUUCAUGCAGGAUGUUGCAGAGGUGUCCUGCCUCAGACCAGGUAUACCCAAGCAGCAGAGCACUGCAGCCUUCAUUCAGUGCUGGAUUGUGUGAUGAACCUGGAGGAGAGACCACAGCUUUGGAUGUCAGCUGGACUGAUAAACAAAGAGGAAAUGCAUCUGAUGCAACUGUGGGGUGUUCAUACUGUCUGGAUGGGGCAGUGCGUGAUGCCCAGGGUCUGCGUGCACAGCUUUGGGACUUGGAAAGGUGUGCACAGACAACAAACAACAAACAACAAACUCCUGGAUGAAGGAGAAGAGUGAUGGUGCUCCUUUAUAUGCUUUAGAAGUGCAAAAGCCAGCCAUGGUGAACCAGGAUGUGAAUUUGUAGCUAAUCAGCUGCUCGAAGUUGACCAUCCUCCAGUGGGGCCACACACUCUGCUCAGUGUGGAGCUGGGGACAAAGAUAGGCCCCAGGGGGCAGCGCCUGUCCCCAGCUCGCCUCCGGGUGACACCUUCAUCUGUCCAACCUCUGGGCAACCAUCAAAAUCCUCUCACCAGGCCCUGGUGGCAGCUCUCCCUGCUGCUCCCCUCCGGUGGGAUGGGAACCCCAACCUCAGCCCCCUGCUUUCCUCAAACACCGCAGACUGGCACAGCCUGGAUUGUUUAGUCUGGCAAGGGGAGGGCAGAGGAGAGAUAGG